UACAGAGACUGCAAGCGUUAUUCGGAUUCACUGGGCGUAAAGGGUGCGCAGGCGGCCAAGUGUGUGAGGCGUGGAAGCCCGAUGCUCAACAUCGGAAUUGCACCUCAAACUACAUGGCUAGAGCAUUGGAGAGGGUAGCGGAAUUCACGGUGUAGCAGUGAAAUGCGUAGAUAUCGUGAGGAACACCAGAGGCGAAGGCGGCUACCUGGACAAUUGCUGACGCUCAGGCACGAAAGCGUGGGGAGCAAAAGGG
rnacentral:rRNA from 1 species